GGGGGGGGGGGGGGGGGGGGCGGGGGGGGGGGGGGGGGGGGGGGGGAGGGGGGGGUGGCUGCUGGGACGGUAGCGGCGGACGGGUGAGUAACACGUGGAUAACCGACCUAUAAGACGGGGCUAACUUCGGGAAACCGGAGCUAAUACCGGGUAAUAUGUUGAACCGCAUGGUUCAAUAGUGAAAGACGGUGUUGCUGUCACUUAUAGAUGGAUCCGCGCCGCAUUAUCUAGUUGGUAAGGUACCGGCUUACCAAGGCAAAGUUGCGUAGCCGACCUGAGAGGGUGAUCGGCCACACUGGAACUGAGACACGGUCCAGACUCCUACGGGAGGCAGCAGUAGGGAAUCUUCCGCAAUGGGCGAAAGCCUGACGGAGCAACGCCGCGUGAGUGAUGAAGGUCUUCGGAUCGUAAAACUCUGUUAUUAGGGAAGAACAAAUGUGUAAGUAACUAUGCACGUCUUGACGGUACCUAAUCAGAAAGCCACGGCUAACUACGUG
rnacentral:rRNA from 1 species